rnacentral:rRNA from 1 species
AUGUCGCCGCCAAGUUUGCCGGACGAAGAAGCGCCGAGUUCGCCGGAGGAACAAGAACGCCCGUCGAGCCGUGCAAUGUCUCUUGUGGCGGCUACACGAGAGGAUUUGCAGUGGCACCGCCGCAACCAGCGAGGACACAAGAUCACGAGGAUUGUUGCCGCUUCCGAGGACAUGGGAGCUGCCAUAGCCAGCGAGUACGUGAGCACACACAGUCACCAUCACUUAAGAGGAUGCGAGAGCCAUCUCAGCUUGAGAGGAUGCGCAUACCAUCUCCGGGUAUAUAGCGGUGAGGGAGUUCUGUGA